rnacentral:rRNA from 1 species
UACGUAUGGUGCAAGCGUUAUCCGGAUUUACUGGGCGUAAAGGGAGCGCAGGCGGCGCGCCAAGUCUGAUGUGAAACCCCGGGGCUCAACCCCGGGCAUGCAUUGGAAACUGGCGGGCUGGAGUGCCGGAGAGGUAUGCGGAAUUCCUAGUGUAGCGGUGAAAUGCGUAGAUAUUAGGAGGAACACCAGUGGUGAAGGCGGCUUACUGGACGGCAACUGACGCUGAGGCUCGAAAGCGUGGGGAGCAAACAGG